UACGUAGGGGGCAAGCGUUGUCCGGAUUUAUUGGGCGUAAAGAGCGUGUAGGCGGCCAGGUAGGUCCGUUGUGAAAACUCGAGGCUCAACCUCGAGACGUCGAUGGAAACCAUCUGGCUAGAGUCCGGAAGAGGAGAGUGGAAUUCCUGGUGUAGCGGUGAAAUGCGCAGAUAUCAGGAGGAACACCAGUAGCGAAGGCGGCUCGCUGGGCCAUUCCUGACGCUGAGACGCGAAAGCUAGGGGAGCGAACAGG
rnacentral:rRNA from 1 species